CCUACGGGUGGCAGCAGUAGGGAAUAUUGCUCAAUGGGGGAAACCCUGAUGCAGCAACGCCGCGUGGAGGAUGAAGGUUUUCGGAUUGUAAACUUCUUUUGUUAGAGAAGAUAAUGACGGUAUCUAACGAAUAAGCACCGGCUAACUCCGUGCCAGCAGCCGCGGUAAUACGGAGGGUGCAAGCGUUAUACGGAUUUACUGGGCGUAAAGAGCGCGUAGGCGGGAUAGCAAGUCAGAUGUGAAAUCCUAUGGCUUAACCGUGGAACUGCAUUUGAAACUGGUAUACUAGAGUAUGGGAGGGGUAAGUGGAAUUCUUGGUGUAGGGGUAAAAUGCGUAGAGAUCAGGAGGAAUACCGGUUGCGAAGGCGGCCUACUAGAACAUAACUGACGCUGAUGCGCGAAAGCGUGGGGAGCAAACAGGAUUAGAUACCCGUGUAGUC
rnacentral:rRNA from 1 species